rnacentral:rRNA from 1 species
AUGAUUCUUCGUUCAUUAUCAUGUCGAUUCCUCACAAUCGCUCUUUGUGAUGCUGCGGAACCAUGGCAAUUAGGAUCUCAAGACGCAGCAACACCUAUGAUGCAAGGAAUCAUUGACUUACAUCACGAUAUCUUUUUCUUCCUCAUUCUUAUUUUGGUUUUCGUAUCACGGAUGUUGGUUCGCGCUUUAUGGCAUUUCAAUGAGCAAACUAAUCCAAUCCCACAAAGGAUUGUUCAUGGAACUACUAUCGAAAUUAUUCGGACCAUAUUUCCAAGUGUCAUUCUUUUGUUCAUUGCUAUACCAUCGUUUGGUCUUGCGUUGACAGUACUAAUAAUGGCAUUUGUUGUCUUAUUCGGAGUUCAAGGAAUAGCCUUUCAUCUUGGGAAUGAGAAUGUCGCGGAUCUCAAUGUUCUCGUCAUGACCAAUGCUCCUAACGGGGGUGACUUUCCCAUAGACCAACCUCCCGUUGGCGGACUACCAGACCUCCAGCAGGAAAUGGCGCACGCCGCCCAUCCCGAAGACAUAAUUGCGGAGUUGACUUCCAAGGUUGAAAGAAUAUUUCACGAAGUAGGCACUCCUCUUCCUUUAGAGGAAGGUGAAUCUGCGCGAUCGUUCACUGAAAAUCAUGUAUUGUGGAAUAGUGAGGGAGGAGAUACUCUUCAACAAAUCUUCUCCGAUUAUACGGAAGCCGGGGACGCAAGCGAAUUCGUCGCAAUAGCCACCAAUCUGGCGAAGCGGUUUCGCCGCGCCGAGCUCGGUGAACCAGAUUCUCUCGACCCCGAUGCGCCUUUGGAAGAGCAGGAGGCUCAUUCCACGGGAUCCCCUGAAAGCACAAAAGCAAAUGAUGGGGCGAACGAGGCAGGCCCGUCUUCUUCGCGGAAGCGUAAAAGGUGGGAUGAUGAUUCGAGGUCCGAAGAUGAUGAUUCGGGGGGCCCCGGGGAAUCUCCAGAUCCAGUGGAAAUCGUUUACGAAGGGGAUGCACAAGGGUACAACUGGGAGGGGAAUUAG